rnacentral:rRNA from 1 species
GAGUCUAUUCAAUGAGGAGGAAUGUGACGGUUCAGGUAUGAGAUCGAGCGGCGGGAGCCAGCACUGAUCUAUUACGAGGCUGGCGGUAACGUUGCCUGCGGUGGGUCGCCCACCGAUUGGACAAACUUAAACCCUUUGCAGUUGAAAUCAGCGUCUGAAAAAACUUAAUAGUUACAACUUUCAACAACGGAUCUCUUGGUUCUGGCAUCGAUGAAGAACGCAGCGAAAUGCGAUAAGUAGUGUGAAUUGCAGAAUUCAGUGAAUCAUCGAAUCUUUGAACGCACAUUGCGCCCCUUGGUAUUCCAUGGGGCAUGCCUGUUCGAGCGUCAUUUGUACCUUCAAGCUCUGCUUGGUGUUGGGUGUUGUCUCCUGUAGACUCGCCUUAAAACAAUUGGCAGCCGGCGUAUUGAUUUCGGAGCGCAGUACAUCUCGCGCUUUGCACUCAUAACGACGACAUCCAAAAGUACAUUUUUACACUCUUGACCUCGGAUCAGGUAGGGAUACCCGUGAACUUAA